rnacentral:rRNA from 1 species
ACUCCCUACGGGAGGCAGCAGUGGGGAAUAUUGCACAAUGGGCGCAAGCCUGAUGCAGCCAUGCCGCGUGUAUGAAGAAGGCCUUCGGGUUGUAAAGUACUUUCAGCAGUGAGGAAGGUGGGUAUGUUAAUAGCAUACUCAUUUGACGUUAGCUGCAGAAGAAGCACCGGCUAACUCCGUGCCAGCAGCCGCGGUAAUACGGAGGGUGCGAGCGUUAAUCGGAAUUACUGGGCGUAAAGCGCAUGCAGGUGGUUUGUUAAGUCAGAUGUGAAAGCCCGGGGCUCAACCUCGGAAUUGCAUUUGAAACUGGCAAACUAGAGUACUGUAGAGGGGGGUAGAAUUUCAGGUGUAGCGGUGAAAUGCGUAGAGAUCUGAAGGAAUACCGGUGGCGAAGGCGGCCCCCUGGACAGAUACUGACACUCAGAUGCGAAAGCGUGGGGAGCAAACAGGAUUAGAUACCCUGGUAGGCUCU